CUACGGGCCGCUGCAGUGGGGAAUAUUGCACAAUGGGCGAAAGCCUGAUGCAGCAACGCCGCGUGCGGGAUGAAGGCCCUAGGGUUGUAAACCGCUUUCAGCAGGGAAGAAAAUGACGGUACCUGUAGAAGAAGGUGCGGCCAACUACGUGCCAGCAGCCGCGGUGACACGUAGGCACCAAGCGUUGUCCGGAUUUAUUGGGCGUAAAGAGCUCGUAGGCGGUUCAGUAAGUCGGGUGUGAAAACUCUGGGCUCAACCCAGAGACGCCACCCGAUACUGCUGUGACUAGAGUGCGGUAGGGGAGCGGGGAAUUCCUAGUGUAGCGGUGAAAUGCGCAGAUAUUAGGAGGAACACCAGUGGCGAAGGCGCCGCUCUGGGCCGUAACUGACGCUGAGGAGCGAAAGCGUGGGUAGCAAACAGGAUUAGAUACCCGUGUAGUC
rnacentral:rRNA from 1 species